rnacentral:rRNA from 1 species
UACGUAGGGGGCAAGCGUUGUUCGGAAUUAUUGGGCGUAAAGCGCGUGUAGGCGGCUCGAUAAGUCUGCUGUGAAAGUCCAAGGCUCAACCUUGGAAAGCCGGUGGAUACUGUCGAGCUCGAGUCCGGAAGAGGCGAGUGGAAUUCCUGGUGUAGCGGUGAAAUGCGCAGAUAUCAGGAGGAACACCGGUGGCGAAGGCGGGUCUCUGGGCCGAAAUUGACGCUGAGGAGCGAAAGCGUGGGGAGCAAACAGG